AAGAAAAAAAAGAGAAUUUAGUGGUUCAAGCCCAUGAGGCAAUUAAAAUAAGAAAAGGGCAAAAAUAAUAUAGGACUUGCCCUUUAUGCUGCAUAUAGGCAGCACAGCUGCUUUAAAAUAAGAAAAGGGCAAAAAAGAAUAUAGGGCUUUGCCCUUUAUGCUGAAUUUAAACGUGCAAAUCGCACAGCAGCAGCAACCAACAAAACAGGAACCAACGUGCAAAAUUUCUGCACAGCUAUACAAACCCAGUGUAUUCCCACUUAGUGGGGUCUGCUUCUGCACAGCUAUAGCAACGAAAAAAAGAAAAUUCUUAAGAGGUUCUUAUUGGGUUCAAGAUUUGAUCCAAGAAAGUGAUACGAAGCAUUUGAGGCGACAAUUUUGGUAUUUCGAUAUGUAUACUAGUACACAAGUGAUGGUGAGUAUUCGAGUGGCAUAUUCCUUGUGAGUCUCGCACUUGUUCGUGUGGGCAAUAAUUUAUUUAUUUUAUGUUCUUUUCCUUGAAACUCCUAGAGUUGCUCUAUAGUCAUUUCUGUAGAGUUUGAGUAUUAUUUCAGUAUUUUGAUUUGGUGAAGUUAUCGACUUCUUCUCAUAGUUUGGAAGUGGAUUUCUUAUUGUUAUUUAAUGGUAAAUGGGUUUUGAUGG